GGAUAAACAGCUGGAAGCUGGAAAGGAAUUUGCUAGUUCAAGAACAGAAAUCAGAUCCAACUGACAGGGGCAGGGGUGGCUGAAAUGCCAAAGCUUCGUGCAGGAAGCUUGCUGGUGAGCUUCUAUCUCUCUGGGUAUAUGUCAUAAAACUACCAGAGAGCACAAAGAGGCAAUUUGGACAUUCGUGGCUCAGUUUUGCCUUGAACAAAGGAACAGAGCGAGUCUGUGUUCCUGAGGAGCAGGUGAUUAUGAAGAUGUUCUCUGCUUUGAGAAAAAUGCCUUGUGCCUAAAAGGACAUGGGGUGAUUGUUGGCACCAGGUACAAACAAUUUAAAGUUUCAAAUGCCAAGAACGUCCUGAGCACAUGAAGUCCCAACCCAUCCCACAUCAGUACAUAAGAUUUCAAAGAUACUGUUGGUCAAUGAAAAGAACAAGGGUGCUUAGCUACCCUGGCAACCUUGAAUUUUGUGUUCGAUUCCCUCCUACUAGGUGUGAGGAUGUGAGAAAACACGGGAAUGGUGUGGUCUUGCUGUUUUAGUUUCUUGAGUUAUUAUGCUUCUAUGCAUUGGCUCAAAAGUACAUCUCCAUCACUGCAGAGGCGACUUUCCUUAAAUAGGACUCACACUCAGACCACAUGUAAAUUUGGAUAAUGAUUGCUUGAGUGUUGACAGGGAAAUUGGCACCGUGCCUUGAAGAGCCAAUAGAAAUGUAGCAAGGCUGCUUUUAUCCUAGCGUGGACUGAAUCUUAGACACAAGAAGCAGCAUGCCUUGCAGAAUGGUUUUCUGAAACACUGCUGGAGAGAAAUGCAACUCAAUGAGAACCUGACAUGUGACUGGAAUCCAUUAGGUCAUUUACUCAACUUCAUAAUCAAAAUCAGUUGUCAUUUGAAGUAGAAAAUCAAGAAGGAGUUUUCUCUGCUUUGUGUCCUGAGUACUUUAAAGUUAUGUCACCUGUACCUGAGACAAAUAUUCAGCACAGACCACUUGCCCUUACACAUUUUAAUUAUAAACUAAUUUUUUGUUUCAUAUUUAAGAAUGGCCAAAAGAUAAUUGGAAAUAAAAUGAAAAUUUAUGAAAACAAGUUUAGACAUUUGAUAUAUAGUAAAGUUUGAUUCUUAAGUGUUUUGUAGUUUUAAUUCUAAUUAAUUCAUUAAUAAAUGUUAUUCUUUGGUAAUUCC
rnacentral:lncRNA from 1 species